UGCGGAUCCGCGGCCGCAGAGUUUGCUCCUGGCUCAGAUUGAACGCUGGCGGCAUGCCUAACACAUGCAAGUCGAACGAGGUUGGCUUCGGCCAACCUAGUGGCGGACGGGUGAGUAAUACGUGGGAAUCUGCCUCGUAGUGGGGGAUAACGUAGGGAAACUUACGCUAAUACCGCAUACGCUCUACGGAGGAAAGGGGGGGAUCUUCAGACCUCUCGCUAUGAGAUGAGCCCACGUCUGAUUAGCUAGUUGGUGGGGUAAAGGCCUACCAAGGCGACGAUCAGUAGCCGGCCUGAGAGGGUGGACGGCCACACUGGGACUGAGACACGGCCCAGACUCCUACGGGAGGCAGCAGUGGGGAAUAUUGGACAAUGGGCGAAAGCCUGAUCCAGCAAUGCCGCGUGUGUGAAGAAGGCCUGCGGGUUGUAAAGCACUUUAAGUGGGGAAGAACGGGAUUGCGCUAAUACCGCGAUCCUUUGACGUUACCCACAGAAUAAGCACCGGCUAACUCCGUGCCAGCAGCCGCGGUAAUACGGAGGGUGCGAGCGUUAAUCGGAAUUACUGGGCGUAAAGCGCGUGUAGGCGGUUUGAUAAGUCGGAUGUGAAAUCCCUGGGCUUAACCUGGGAAUGGCAUUCGAUACUGUCAGGCUAGAGUAGGAUAGAGGAGAGGGGAAUUCCGCGUGUAGCAGUGAAAUGCGUAGAUAUGCGGAGGAACACCAAUGGCGAAGGCACCUCUCUGGGUCCAUACUGACGCUGAGAUGCGAAAGCGUGGGGAGCAAAC
rnacentral:rRNA from 1 species